AGUGAGUGCAUUGCUUUUAACAAAAUUUUGAGUUUAACAAAGACACAAAGGCCUAAAAUGGUUUGAAUGAGUGUUAGUUCUUUUUGGCUUUUUGAAAAUUUUAAGUCAAGUAUAGUUAAGUUCAUUUACAAGUUUGAUUAAGAAAAGAGUUUGAAAAAUGCAAUGGCAUAAGGCCAAAGUUUCUAGUUUGCAAUAAUGGUCUAAGUUUAGAAAGCAG
rnacentral:lncRNA from 1 species